UUCAGGAUGGCCAAGCGGUCAAAGGCGCUUUGCGUUCAUCGUAGUUUUGGCGUGGGUUCGAAAAUCCCACUUCUGAUAA